GACGAACGCUGGCGGCGUGCUUAACACAUGCAAGUCGAACGGAAAGGCCCUGCUUUUGUGGGGUGCUCGAGUGGCGAACGGGUGAGUAACACGUGAGUAACCUGCCCUUGACUUUGGGAUAACUUCAGGAAACUGGGGCUAAUACCGGAUAGGAGCUCCUGCUGCAUGGUGGGGGUUGGAAAGUUUCGGCGGUUGGGGAUGGACUCGCGGCUUAUCAGCUUGUUGGUGGGGUAGUGGCUUACCAAGGCUUUGACGGGUAGCCGGCCUGAGAGGGUGACCGGCCACAUUGGGACUGAGAUACGGCCCAGACUCCUACGGGAGGCAGCAGUGGGGAAUAUUGCACAAUGGGCGGAAGCCUGAUGCAGCAACGCCGCGUGCGAGAUGACGGCCUUCGGGUUGUAAACCGCUUUCGCCUGUGACGAAGCGUGAGUGACGGUAAUGGGUAAAGAAGCACCGGCUAACUACGUGCCAGCAGCCGCGGUGAUACGUAGGGUACGAGCGUUGUCCGGAUUUAUUGGGCGUAAAGGGCUCGUAGGUGGUUGAUCGCGUCGGAAGUGUAAUCUUGGGGCUUAACCCUGAGCGUGCUUUCGAUACGGGUUGACUUGAGGAAGGUAGGGGAGAAUGGAAUUCCUGGUGGAGCGGUGGAAUGCGCAGAUAUCAGGAGGAACACCAGUGGCGAAGGCGGUUCUCUGGGCCUUUCCUGACGCUGAGGAGCGAAAGCGUGGGGAGCGAACAGGCUUAGAUACCCUGGUAGUCCACGCUGUAAACGGUGGGUACUAGGUGUGGGGUCCAUUCCACGGGUUCCGUGCCGUAGCUAACGCUUUAAGUACCCCGCCUGGGGAGUACGGCCGCAAGGCUAAAACUCAAAGGAAUUGACGGGGCCCCGCACAAGCGGCGGAGCAUGCGGAUUAAUUCGAUGCAACGCGUAGAACCUUACCUGGGUUUGACAUGGAUCGGGAGUGCUCAGAGAUGGGUGUGCCUCUUUUGGGGUCGGUUCACAGGUGGUGCAUGGCUGUCGUCAGCUCGUGUCGUGAGAUGUUGGGUUAAGUCCCGCAACGAGCGCAACCCUUGUUCACUGUUGCCAGCACGUUAUGGUGGGGACUCAGUGGAGACCGCCGGGGUCAACUCGGAGGAAGGUGGGGGUGACGUCAAGUCAUCAUGCCCCUUAUGUCCAGGGCUUCACGCAUGCUACAAUGGCUGGUACAGAGAGUGGCGAGCCUGUGAGGGUGAGCGAAUCUCGGAAAGCCGGUCUCAGUUCGGAUUGGGGUCUGCAACUCGACCUCAUGAAGUCGGAGUCGCUAGUAAUCGCAGAUCAGCAACGCUGCGGUGAAUACGUUCCCGGGGCU
rnacentral:rRNA from 1 species